rnacentral:rRNA from 1 species
CGGAGCUUGCUCCAUCGAAAGAAAAAGAGUGGCGAACGGGUGAGUAACACGUGGGUAACCUGCCCAUCAGAAGGGGAUAACACUUGGAAACAGGUGCUAAUACCGUAUAACACUAUUUUCCGCAUGGAAGAAAGUUGAAAGGCGCUUUUGCGUCACUGAUGGAUGGACCCGCGGUGCAUUAGCUAGUUGGUGAGGUAACGGCUCACCAAGGCCACGAUGCAUAGCCGACCUGAGAGGGUGAUCGGCCACACUGGGACUGAGACACGGCCCAGACUCCUACGGGAGGCAGCAGUAGGGAAUCUUCGGCAAUGGACGAAAGUCUGACCGAGCAACGCCGCGUGAGUGAAGAAGGUUUUCGGAUCGUAAAACUCUGUUGUUAGAGAAGAACAAGGAUGAGAGUAAAAUGUUCAUCCCUUGACGGUAUCUAACCAGAAAGCCACGGCUAACUACGUGCCAGCAGCCGCGGUAAUACGUAGGUGGCAAGCGUUGUCCGGAUUUAUUGGGCGUAAAGCGAGCGCAGCGGUUUCUUAAGUCUGAUGUGAAAGCCCCCGGCUCACCGGGGAGGGUCAUUGGAAACUGG